GUUGUAAUAAUGAAGUCAAACCAAAUAGUGAUAUUUUAAAAUUAUUUAAUACAUAUGUUUCAGGUUUGCAUAAUAUGUAAUAGGAAAUGCAUCUAUUACGUAAACCUUCCUCAGUUAAAAGAUUUCAAAAUUAGAUUUGCUUU